UUCAAAAUCAAAAUCAAAAUCUAAAAUCAUUUAUUCUAAGUAGGCUCAGUUUACAAGCACUUUUGACACGACAGUAGACUAUUUGUAAAGAUUCUACCACCGGUUCGGAAGGCAGGUUCUGCUGAGAAGAUACCGGUAAGAAACUCAACAGUUGCUCUUUUGAAAAAGUCAUAGAGUAUUAUAAUUUACAAUUGAUAACAAUUACAAUUUCUUAUAGUUUUAUUUCCUGUGUGAAGGUGGAAGCUGACCCAAUGGCCUCCAAGCGCUUUUAUCUUUAUAGGAACUCAUCAAUGUUGUAGUAACCUCGACUAAGUAAAUGUUUUUUAACACAUUGCUUAAAGCUAUGCAUUGGCAGGUCCAUCACAGUUUUGAGGAUCUUGUUAUAGAAGAGUACACCCAAACCUACAAAAGAUUUUUUUUUACUCUUUGGAGACGAUAUGCAGAAAUAACUAACUUAUGCCCGUGUCUAGUAAGACGUGGGUUUAAAUCUCCUUUUCGUUUGGAAUUCGUUCGUUCAAUUUAGGUAAGCACACAAAUACUUAGGUAUUUCACACAGACAAAAACGUGUGUCACACAGACCCAUGUCACACAGACGCAGGUCACACAGACGCAAGUCACACAGACGCAAGUCACACAGACGCAGGUCACACAGACGCAGGUCACACAGACGCAGGUCACAAAGUCGUAUAUCAUACAGACAUAUAGUAAAAGGUAAGCCAUAGUCGAAUAUAUAGAUAUAGACAGACGUGAGUCGCAUAGAAGUGAAUCACUGACGAGUGCCACAUAAGACAGAAGUCACGUAGAAGUAAACCAAGAGGAACCGAAUCACAUAUAUCGCCACUUAUGCAUAAGUCACAUAGAGAGAAUCUUACAAUAAUAUUGUUUCAAUUGUGCGUUUUUUUUUAUUUAGAACUGUGAAAAUCAAUGUUAAUUCUCGACUACCGUAUAUGAGGACAUCUGUAACUUCAUUUUCCUCCCUAUCUACCAGAACAAUCUGCAAAUACGUAGAACUAUUAAUCUUGUUAAUAUUACAAGAAUAUAAUUUAAUAUCUGUACUUAUUCACUACCACAUUCUAUCAAUAGACGAACUUUGAAUUAAAUUAAUUGAAUCUGUAAACUGCAUCCCAUAAGGUCUUAGCCCCCACAAAUUAUAGUACAAAUUUUAUACGUACCGACCUAUCUCAUGUUACGCUUUAGAAAUCUCUUAUGAUUAGAUUUUAGUAUAUAAGUACAUUUAUAUUGUAGUUUUCCCAAAAAACAUAUGUUUCCAAAAUCA